rnacentral:rRNA from 1 species
CGGUGGAGCAUGUGGUUUAAUUCGACGCAACGCGCAGAACCUUACCAGCCCUUGACAUCCCGGUCGCGACUCCAGAGAUGAUUCUAGGACCGAACAGGUGUGACGAGCGCAACCCCCGUCCUUAGUUGCUACCGGGAUGUCAAGUCUCAUGGCCCUUACGGGCUGGCUACAUACAUGGCGGUGACAUGGGAUGCUAAGGGGCGACCCUUCGCAUCUCAAAAAGCCGUCUCAGUUCGGAUUGGGCUGCAACUCGAGCCCAUGAAGUUGGAAUCGCUAGUAAUCGGGAUCAGCACGCCACGGUGAAUACGUUCCCGGGCCUUGUACACACCGCCGUCACACCAUGGGAGUUGGUUUUACCUGAAGACGGUGCGCUAACCCGCAAGGGAGGCAGCCGGCCACGUAGGGUCAGCGACUGGGGUGAAGUCGUACAAGGU